UGACCGCGGACCGCCACCCGGAGGGCCUGGGCCCGGCCUGCCCCACGCGAGACCCCGCAAGAGUUCCCAUGAAAACUUACGAGAGUGAAAAAAAAUGUAUAAAAUCAUCCUAAGAAUGGAAAGGAAACAUGGACAUGAAUUUUAACUUGUUUCUGGAAGAUGAAAAAUAGAUGUCAC
rnacentral:lncRNA from 1 species